rnacentral:misc_RNA from 1 species
GAUGAAGAACGCAGCGAAACGCGAUAUUUCUUGUGAAUUGCAGAAGUGAAUCAUCAGUUUUUGAACGCACAUUGCACUUUGGGGUAUCCCCCAAAGUAUACUUGUUUGAGCGUUGUUUCUCUCUUGGAAUUGCUUUGCUCUUCUAAAAUUUCGAAUCAAAUUCGUUUGAAAAACAACACUAUUCAACCUCAGAUCAAGUAGGAUUACCCGCUGAACUUAAGCAUAUCAAUAAGCGGAGGA